GAUGAAGAACGUAGCAAAAUGCGAUAAGUAAUGUGAAUUGCAGAAUUCAGUGAAUCUUCGAAUCUUUGAACGCACAUUGCGCCCGCUGGUAUUCCGGCGGGCAUGCCUGUUCGAGCGUCAUUUCAACCCUCAAGCCCCCGGGUUUGGUGUUGGGGAUCGGCUCUGCCCUUCUGGGCGGUGCCGCCCCCGAAAUACAUUGGCGGUCUCGCUGCAGCCUCCAUUGCGUAGUAGCUAACACCUCGCAACUGGAACGCGGCGCGGCCAUGCCGUAAAACCCCAACUUCUGAAUGUUGACCUCGGAUCAGGUAGGAAUACCCGCUGAACCUAAGCAUAUCAAUAAGCGGAGGA
rnacentral:misc_RNA from 1 species